UUAAUUGACCGAUUAUGUAUGUAAUCUGUAACGGCACAAUGAGUUCCCGCGUGCAAUAUGUCAAGCAAAUCAACGUGCACUAACCACUAAUUGUAAACUUUAGUGACAGAUCACAAAAAAGUCAAGGACAACAAGUACAAUGAGAGAGGGAAUGGAAGUAAAAUCAGUGGCAGUCGGAACUACCGUCACAAAGAAUUGUAGUCAGGAGUGGAAGGAUUAAGGUAGAUAAAACCUGACAACUCUCAAAGAGAUCAUCUGACAUAAAAGCCGAGCACAAGUGAGAUCAGGCAU